rnacentral:rRNA from 1 species
GACGAACGCUGGCGGCGUGCUUAACACAUGCAAGUCGAACGGUAAGGCCCUUCGGGGUACACGAGUGGCGAACGGGUGAGUAACACGUGGGUGAUCUGCCCUGCACUUCGGGAUAAGCCUGGGAAACUGGGUCUAAUACCGGAUAGGACCACUGCCUGCAUGGGUGGUGGUGGAAAGCUUUUGCGGUGUGGGAUGGGCCCGCGGCCUAUCAGCUUGUUGGUGGGGUGAUGGCCUACCAAGGCGACGACGGGUAGCCGGCCUGAGAGGGUGACCGGCCACACUGGGACUGAGAUACGGCCCAGACUCCUACGGGAGGCAGCAGUGGGGAAUAUUGCACAAUGGGCGCAAGCCUGAUGCAGCAACGCCGCGUGAGGGAUGACGGCCUUCGAGUUGUAAACCUCUUUUAGUAGGGAAGAAGCGAAAGUGACGGUACCUGCAGAAAAAGCACCGGCUAACUACGUGCCAGCCGCCGCCGUAA